rnacentral:snRNA from 1 species
GUGCUCAACUUUGGAUGACAUAUACUAAAAUCGGAAUGAUAUAGAGAUUAGCAUGGCUCUUACAUAAGGAUGACAUGCAAAUUCAUGACGUGUUCCGUAUUUGU